AUUUUAUCUACUUAUACUUCUCCAUGGUGGAGAACGUGAGGAGAACAAAAGGUCAAAAAAUAGAAUACGUAAAGUUUUGUAGGGAGAUUACUUAGCUUUCUUUUGCAGAGUAAUUGUACUAGAAAUCAUUUCUGCAACAUAUAGGAAUAUGCGUGGACCACGAUAGUUGUAAAUUCAACAAUCCGAUCAACCUCGACAAAAAACACGAACUCCUUCUUCUGCCUACUGAUUCGAAUUGAUUUGAAGUUUUGAGUGAAAAAGAGGGAAUGGCGAUUCCUCUUCCCUCUACCCGCCUCCUUUACUCACACGUGGUUCCUCGGUGACGACGACUGGAGGAACGGGUCGUCGUCAAUCGUUGGAUGUCGAAUCGGCGAAAGGUGGAGAGAUUGAAGGGGCAGUGUACAACAAUUGCAUUGUGGGUUGAGGAAGAUGGAACUACUCUCAUUUUCCAUUUGGCCACAAAUAUUUGAAGGCAGUUGGGAUUCCAAAUUUUGUAAACUGGAUUGCUGAGUUUUUUUUUUUUUAAUUAAAACAAAUAGGGUCAGCCCCUUUCUCGUUUUCAAAACAAGCUAGGCUAUUACUAGCUGUAGUUUUAAAUUGUUUGAAAUGGUAGCUAUUGUGAGUAUUACUACA